GGGGGCGUACAGGUUUCGACGGGGGUUUGGAGUCAUGAGUUGCGAGUCGUGUUUGCUUGGUAUCACGUAAAAAACUGGGCAAUAAAUAUAAACGCAAACGAUAAUUACGCUUUAGCAGCCUAGUUGCUGCUCGUUUCUACCAGGUGUCCCGCAGCCCGGAUAGAAACGUCAUAACCGCGGGGAACGUCUUAAGGGGUGCUCUGACCUUAAGUUGUAUAACUGGAGCUGGUCGAUUCUAAAACUUGCUACUAGGUGUUAGGAAAGACGAGAUCUAAAUUAGUAGCUACACUCGUAGAAGCUCAUGGUAAAGAGCCUUCGGACAGGGGUUCGAUUCCCCUCGCCUCCACCA
rnacentral:tmRNA from 1 species